rnacentral:rRNA from 1 species
CCUACGGGUGGCAGCAGUGAGGAAUAUUGGUCAAUGGGCGAGAGCCUGAACCAGCCAAGUCGCGUGAGGGAGUACUGCCCUAUGGGUUGUAAACCUCUUUUGUCGGGGAGCAAAAGCCGGACGUGUCCGGCUGUGAGAGUACCCGAAGAAAAAGCAUCGGCUAACUCCGUGCCAGCAGCCGCGGUAAUACGGAGGAUGCGAGCGUUAUCCGGAUUUAUUGGGUUUAAAGGGUGCGCAGGCGGAUUUAAGUCAGCGGUCAAAUCGUGGGGCUCAACCCCAUCCAGCCGUUGAAACUGGGGAUCUAGAGUGUGCGAGAGGUAUGCGGAAUGCGUGGUGUAGCGGUGAAAUGCAUAGAUAUCUGGAGGAACAUCAGUGGCGAAGGCGACUAUCUGGCACAUAACUGACGCUGAGGAGCGAAAGCGUGGGUAGCAAACAGGAUUAGAUACCCGAGUAGUC